rnacentral:rRNA from 1 species
UACGGAGGGGGCUAGCGUUGUUCGGAAUUACUGGGCGUAAAGCGCACGUAGGCGGCUUUGUGAGUUAGAGGUGAAAGCCUGGAGCUCAACGCCAGAAUUGCCUUUAAGACUGCAUGGCUUGAGUCCAGGAGAGGUGAGUGGAAUUCCGAGUGUAGAGGUGAAAUUUGUAGAUAUUCGGAAGAACACCAGUGGCGAAGGCGGCUCUCUGGACUGGCACUGACGCUGAGGUGCGAAAGCGUGGGGAGCAAACAGG